rnacentral:rRNA from 1 species
UGGCACCUCGAUGUCGGCUCGUCACAUCCUGGGGCUGGAGAAGGUCCCCAGGGGUUGGGCUGUUCGCCCAUUAAAGUGGCACGCGAGCUGGGUUCAGACCGUCGUGAGACAGUUCGGUCUCUAUCUACUGUGGGCGUUAGAAAUUUGAGUGGAUCUGAUUCUAGUACGAGAGGGCCGAAUUGGACAAACCUCUAGUGUAUCUGUUGUCCCGCCAGGGGCACCGCAGAGUAGCUACGUUUGGAAGGGAUAAGCGCUGAAAGCAUAUAAGCGCGAAACCCACCACAAGAUGAGAUUUCUUUUAAGGAUCGUGGAAGAUGACCACGUUGAUAGGCUAUAGAUGUAAAGGCAGUAAUGUCAUAGUCGAGUAGUACUAAUAAUCCGUAAGCUUAUGUACACCC